GUCGGUGGGAUACUACCCUGGCUGUAUUGAAAUUCUAACCCGCGCCCCUGAUCGGGGCGGGAGACAGUGUCAGGUGGGCAGUUUGACUGGGGCGGUCGCCUCCUAAAAAGUAACGGAGGCGCCCAAAGGUUCCCUCAGAAUGGUUGGAAAUCAUUCGCAGAGUGUAAAGGCACAAGGGAGCUUGACUGCGAGACCUACAAGUCGAGCAGGGACGAAAGUCGGGCUUAGUGAUCCGGUGGUUCCGCAUGGAAGGGCCAUCGCUCAACGGAUAAAAGCUACCCCGGGGAUAACAGGCUUAUCUCCCCCAAGAGUCCACAUCGACGGGGAGGUUUGGCACCUCGAUGUCGGCUCAUCGCAUCCUGGGGCUGUAGUCGGUCCCAAGGGUUGGGCUGUUCGCCCAUUAAAGCGGUACGCGAGCUGGGUUCAGAACGUCGUGAGACAGUUCGGUCCCUAUCCGUCGUGGGCGCAGGAAAUUUGAGAGGAGCUGUCCUUAGUACGAGAGGACCGGGAUGGACGCACCGCUGGUGUACCAGUUGUCUUGCCAAAGGCAUCGCUGGGUAGCUAUGUGCGGAAGGGAUAAGUGCUGAAAGCAUCUAAGCAUGAAGCCCCCCUCGAGAUGAGAUUUCCCAUAGCGUCAAGCUAGUAAGAUCCCUGAAAGAUGAUCAGGUUGAUAGGUCAGAGGUGGAAGCGUGGCGACAUGUGGAGCUGACUGAUACUAAUCGAUCGAGGACUUAACCAAG
rnacentral:rRNA from 1 species